GAGAGAGAGAAAGAGACUGAGAUUCAUUUCCAAGUUGUUGAGUUGUUCUGUUGAUACACCUGUUCAGUGAGAUUAUGCACCUGAGAAAUUUGGAGAAGCUAUCUCCAAUAAAUAUUCAAACAGCUUUUCUACAUGUACUGGGCACGUUUCCUUGCAUUUGUACACCCCCAAAACAUAUAUCUACCUAUCAACCAUGUGAUGCUUACAUCAUAUACGUACGAUACAUAUAUGUAUUUAUGAAGACAAGUCUAAUGUUACAUUUCAACUAAUUAAAGAUAAUGAGGUUUAUUAGCAAAUGUAAUUUACACAUAUUGUUAAUAUUCAGCAUAAUUUAUUGUCUACACUUGGUAAACACUCAAAGUAAAUGGGGUGGAAUAUGAAAGGGGUGAGGUGAGGGAAGAUCAUGGGCUUUUUUCCAAUAUGAGCAUUAAUAAUAAUAAUAAUAAUGGUCUCAAAUUUUGCCACAAGGGUAGCCAUUUGGGGGUGGGGGGAGAAGAUAAGUUGAUUACAUCGACCCAAGUGGUCAACUGGUACUUAAUUCAUCAACUCCAAAAGGAUGAAAGCAAAGUUGACCUUGGUAGAAUCUGAACUCACAAUGUAGCAGCAGAUGAAAUGCCGCUAAGCAUUUCGCCCAGUGUAAUAAUCCUUUCUACCAUAGGCACAAGGCUGGAAAUUUGGGGGAUGGGGGACAAUCAAUUACAUUGACCCACUACUUAAGUUAUCGACCCAGAAAGGAUGAAAAGCAAAGUCAACUCCUGCAGAAUUUGAACUCAGAACGUAGCAGCAGACAAAAUACCGCUAAGCAUUUCGCCCAGCGUUCUAAUGAUUCCGCCAGCUCACCGAGUUGUCAGAAUCGUUGGCAUGCUUAGUGGUAUUUCUUCUGUCUUGACAUUUCGAGUUCAAAUUCUGCUGAGGCCAACUUUGCCCUUCAUCCUUUCGGGGUCGAUAAAAUAAAGUACCAGUUGUGUACAGGGGUCGAUGGUAAUUGAUUUAUUACCCCUUCCCUCAACUUAUUGACCCUGUGUCAUUACAAAACUUUUAGGAACAGCAAACAUUCUGCAGAAAGCACCGUCUAUCUGAGGUUAUAUAACUUGAUAAGAGAAGGGAAUCAAUUAUACAAUCCAGUGUUAACAAGACUGUUACUGUGCAAAUGAAAGAACAACAACAACAACAAUAAUAAUAAUAAUGAUGAUGAUGGUGGUUUCUGAUUUAGCAAUUUUGAUGGGAAGGGUUCAGUUAAUACCAUUCACUCCAGGAUUAGACUGGUACUUUGACCAUAUCAGUCUAGGAAGGACAAACAGCAGAGCUCACCUUGGCAGGAAUGUGAAAAGCCCUAACUAAGCAUCAUAAAACACUUCAAAUGAUUCUCUCCGUCCUUUGCCCUAGGGAUUUCAAACAAAAGGAGCGUGUAUGUGUAUGUGUGUUAGAGAUGAAUAAAUCAAUCCCAGCACUCGACUGCUAAUUACGCUGACCUCAGAAAUAUGAAAGGCUAAGUUCACCUCGGCAAGACUUGAAAUUCAAAAUAUCAACAGAAGCAAUUAAAUACUGAAAGGUGUUUUGUCUGACACUAUAAUUCUUGCAAACCAUCAUCCACUGAAUAAUAAUAAUAAUAAUAAUAAUAAUAAUAAUAAUGAUGAGGAUGAUGACUCUCCGCCGACAGAGGCGAAAGGCCAUAAAUUUAAGGGAGGGAAAAGUUGAUUAAAUUAAAUCCAAUACUUCACUUCCACAUAUUUUUAUUGGUCCCACAGGGAUGGCGAAGGGCAAAAGUCAACAUCAGCAAAAUCUGAACCCAGAACAUAAAGGAACAAGACUAAGUAUGGCAAAGCAUUUUGCUAAUACAUCAAUUGAUUUAGGCAACCCGAUGCUCUCAACAACUGAAGGCUGUUUAAGUAUAAUGCCACAUGACCACACACACACAUACACACACAUAUAUAUAUUUAACACAAAGAAAGUUCUUUGAAUAACUGAAGUCUCCAAGAAGCUGGUAUUUUACCCAAAGUAGUCAAAGGAGUUGGAACAAAGAAGGAAAUUAACCAGAAACAGAAAAUUGUACCUUCAGCAUCCCUUAAGUUGGCAGUCUUUGGUUAUUAUAAAGUUCAACAAUUCUGGAGAUUGUGUGUGUGUGUGUGUGUGUGUUAUAAAUUAUUCCAUACUAUACAUAAUUAACGACAAAAAAAAACAACAAAAAAAAAACAAUUGAUGAAAUAAGGAUUUCAUUGACCAAAUUUUCAAGAGAAAAACCAAAGGCUGAAACCCCAAAAUAGGAUGGAAUGAUAUAUACACACAUAUACAUACAUGUGUGUAUAUAUAUAUAUAUACAUAUAUAUGUAUGUGUGUGUAUAUAUAUAUACAUAUAUAUGUGUAUAUAUAUAUAUAAGCACAAACAUUUACAUAUAGUACACAUGCACAUAUGAUAUAUAUAUAUCGUGUGUAUAUCAUAUUAAUAUUUUAACAUAAAAACAAGUUUUUUGUAUUUUUCUUGUUCUUUCUUCCACUUCAGCAGAACAUGUGGUUUCUAUACGCAACAUCAUAUUUUCCAUGUUUUAUUCUCA
rnacentral:lncRNA from 1 species